CAGAAAAUAGUAUUAUAAUAAGAGUACAUAAAUUUUGGAUAUUUAAAGAGAUUAAUCUUUUCUGA
rnacentral:tRNA from 1 species